CGGAUGCGGAACGGAGCAAUCCGGUCCGCC
rnacentral:snRNA from 1 species